CAACCCUUAAGCCUAGCUUAAUGUUGGGAGCUUACAGCACGUAACUCCCUAAAGUCAGUGGCAGAGCUAGUUCAUCUCUCAGCGUAGUAAUUUUAUCUCGCUUUUGAUGGUGGUCUUUCUUCUUGCCAGAAGCCUAUUUACUUCUAAU
rnacentral:misc_RNA from 1 species